CAGUAGCGUAUAUUAAUGUUGUUGCAGUUAAAAAGCUCGUAGUUGGAUUUCUAGCUGACAUGCGUGGCCCGGUUCACCUAGUGGACUCGAGUGUCGCAGCGUGUCCGUUAUCCUAUCAGUUUGUCUGGGCUCCGGUCCAGGCUGACUGGUUCUUUUACUUUGAAAAAAUUAGAGUGUUUAAAGCAGGCUUGCGCAAUGAAUACAUUAGCAUGGAAUAAUAACAUAGGACUUUGGUCUCUAUUUUGUUGGUUUCUGGAACUGAAGUAAUGAUUGAUAGGGAUAGUUGGGGGUGCUAGUAUUGAGCGGCCAGAGGUGAAAUUCUUAGAUUCGCUCAAGACUAACUUAUGCGAAAGCAUUCACCAAGGAUGUCUUCUUUAAUCAAGAACGAAAGUUGGGGGAUCGAAGAUGAUCAGAUACCGU
rnacentral:rRNA from 1 species